CUCGUAGGCGGUUCGUCGCGUCCGGUGUGAAAGUCCAUCGCUUAGCGGUGGAUCCGCGCCGGGUACGGGCGGGCUUGAGUGCGGUAGGGGAGACUGGAAUUCCCGGUGUAACGGUGGAAUGUGUAGAUAUCGGGAAGAACACCAAUGGCGAAGGCAGGUCUCUGGGCCGUCACUGACGCUGAGGAGCGAAAGCGUGGGGAGCGAACA
rnacentral:rRNA from 1 species